UCGGACAUGGUGUACGGUACAUCGCCUCCUCCUUUGGAUAGCUCGUCGCCCGCAGGCAGAGGCAGUUCGGGGUUCAAUUCCCUGUGUCUGAA